rnacentral:rRNA from 1 species
AACGAACGCUGGCGGCAGGUCUUAGGCAUGCAAGUCGAACGGGUGUAGUAAUACACCAGUGGCGAACGAGUGAGUAACGCGUGGGAAUCUGCCCAUCUCUGGGGAAUAACGUUUGGAAACGAACGCUAAUACCGCAUACGCCCGCAAGGGGAAAGAUUUAUCGGAGAUGGAUGAGCCCGCGUUGGAUUAGUUAGUUGGUGGGGUAACGGCCUACCAAGGCGAUGAUCCAUAGCUGGUCUGAGAGGACGAUCAGCCACGCUGGAACUGAGAUACGGUCCAGACUCAUAGGGAGGCAGCAGCUAAGAAUAUUGGGCAAUGGAGGAAACUCUGACCCAGCCAUGCCGCGUGAAUGAAGAAGGCCUUCGGGUUGUAAAGUUCUUUUAGUCGUGACGAUGAUGACGGUAGCGACGGAAAAAGCACCGGCUAACUUCGUGCCAGCAGCCGCGGUAA